UACGAGAGGCGCAAACGUUAUUCGGAAUUACUGGGCUUAAAGAGUUCGUAGGCGGCGCAGAAAGUAGGGUGUGAAAGCCCUCGGCUCAACCGAGGAAUUGCGCUCUAAACUACUGUGCUUGAGGGACCUAGAGGUGAGCGGAACUGAUGGUGGAGCGGUGAAAUGCGUUGAUAUCAUCAGGAACACCGGUGGCGAAGGCGGCAUCCUGGACCGGCAAUUGACGCUAAAGCGCGAAAGCCAGGGGAGCAAACGGG
rnacentral:rRNA from 1 species